ACUUAGCCUUGUCCCUACCUCUUUACUCCUCUGUAGGCAGUAAGUGUAACAGUGUCACAUGAGCCAAGACUGUCAUGAAACUAUUUGGAUACUGUACUCUGGUUCCUUCAUCUCCUCCAUCUGCAUCAGCCUAAAUUGUCCUAUAUCAAGUGCCAGGCCAGGGCACUUUGUCCAGAGCUCACUGUGAAGAAAGAGUAAUGUUCAAGGAUGGCAGCAGGAAGGGGACCCUAAUGAAGAGGUUUAUCUGAUUGGUUUACCGGAGUCCUAAGUGGGAUGAAUAGCUUCAGCCUUUGCACUUGCACCUCUUUGCUGUCCUCUCCAAUCAAGAACGGGGGCCCUCGCAACUCUCUCAGUUCUGAAACAAAUUAAAUCUCAGUGACAGAC
rnacentral:lncRNA from 1 species